rnacentral:rRNA from 1 species
UGAUGCAGCCAUGCCGCGUGUGUGAAGAAGGCCUUCGGGUUGUAAAGCACUUUCAGUUGUGAGGAAAGUUUAGUAAUUAAUACCUGCUACAUGUGACGUUUCCAACAGAACAAGCACCGGCUAACUCCGUGCCAGCAGCCGCGGUAAUACGGAGGGUGCGAGCGUUAAUCGGAAUUACUGGGCGUAAAGCGCACGCAGGCGGUCUGUUAAGCUAGAUGUGAAAGCCCCGCGCUCAACGUGGGAAGUUCAUUUGAAACUGGUGGACUAGAGUCUUGGAGAGGGGAGUGGAAUUCCAGGUGUAGCGGUGAAAUGCGUAAAGAUCUGGAGGAACAUCAAUGGCGAAGGCAACUCCCUGGCCAAAGACUGACGCUCAUGUGCGAAAGUGUGGGUAGCGAACAGGAUUAAAUACCCUGGUAGUCCACACCGUAAACGCUGUCUACUAUCUGUUUGUGAAUUUAAUUCGUGAGUAGCGAAGCUAACGCGAUAAGUAGACCGCCUGGGGAUACGGCCCCCAAGGUUAAAACU